GACGAACGCUGGCGGCGUGCCUAACACAUGCAAGUCGAGCGAGUGGAUCUCCUUCGGGAGUGAAGCUAGCGCGGACGGGUGAGUAACACGUGGGCAACCUGCCUCAUAGAGGGGAAUAGCCUUUCGAAAGGAAGAUUAAUACCGCAUAAGAUUGUAGCUUCGCAUGAAGUAGCAAUUAAAGGAGCAAUCCGCUAUGAGAUGGGCCCCGCGGCGCAUUAGCUAGUUGGUGAGGUAACGGCGUCACCAAGGCGACGAUGCGUAGCCGACCUGAGAGGUGAUCGGCCACAUUGGACUGAGACACGGCCCAGACUCCUACGGGAGGCAGCAGUGGGGAAUAUUGGCACAAUGGGGGAAACCCU
rnacentral:rRNA from 1 species